CCUGCCCACUGAUAAAUAAUUAGUUUAAUGGCCGCGGUAUUAAUGACCGUGCAAAGGUAGCAUAAUCAUUAGUCUUUUAAUUGGGGACUUGUAUGAAUGGUUGGACAAAAGAAAUACUGUCUUCUUUAAUAAAAAUUGAAUUUAACUUUUAAGUGAAAAGGCUUAAAUGUUUCAAAGGGACGAUAAGACCCUAUAAAGCUUUUAUAGAAAAUAAAAUUUAAAUUGAAGUUUAUAUUAAAAAUUAAGUUUUAUAAUUUUAUUAGGUUGGGGUAACAAAGGUAUAAUUAUAAAUAACUGCUUAAGGUGUAUACAAAUAUAUUUGUAUUAAAGUUAAGUGAUCCUUAUUAAAGAUUUAAAGAUUAAGUUACUUUAGGGAUAACAGCGUUAUUUUUUUUGAGAGUUCUUAUCGAAAAAAAAGUUUGCGACCUCGAUGUUGAAUUAAAAUUUCUAUAUAAUGCAGCUAUUAUAUAAGAAGGUCUGUUCGACCUUUAAAUUUUUACGUGAUCUGAGUU
rnacentral:rRNA from 1 species